rnacentral:rRNA from 1 species
UACGGGGGGAGCAAGCGUUGUUCGGAUUUACUGGGCGUAAAGGGCGCGUAGGCGGUCAGCACAAGUCAGUUGUGAAAUCUCCGGGCUUAACUCGGAAAGGUCAACUGAUACUGUGCGACUAGAGUGCGGAAGGGGCAACUGGAAUUCUCGGUGUAGCGGUGAAAUGCGUAGAUAUCGAGAGGAACACCUGCGGCGAAGGCGGUUCUCUGGGACGGUACUGACGCUGAGACGCGAAAGCGUGGGGAGCGAACAGG